AUUGAACGCUGGCGGCAGGCCUAACACAUGCAAGUCGAGCGAGCGGCGGACGGGUGAGUACUGUCUGGGAAACUGCCUGUUGGCUGGGGAUAACUACUGGAAACGGUAUCUAAUACCGCAUACCAUCAGAUUUGCCCAGCUGGGAUUAGCUAGUGGGUGGGGUAACGGCUCACCUAGGCGACGAUCCCUAGCUGAUCUGAGAGGAUGACCAGCCACACUGGAACUGAGACACGGUCCAGACUCCUACGGGAGGCAGCAGUGGGGAAUAUUGGACAAUGGACGAAAGCCUGAUGCAGCAAUGCCGCGUGUGUGAAGAAGGCUUUCGGGUUGUAAAGCACUUUUAGCGGGGAGGCGUUACCCGAAGAAGAAGCACCGGCUAACUCCGUGCCAGCAGCCGCGGUAAUUC
rnacentral:rRNA from 1 species